GACGAACCGUGCGAACGUUGUUCGGAUUCACUGGGCUUAAAGGGCGCGUAGGCGGACUCGCAAGUCUGUGGUGAAAGCCCCCAGCUCAACUGGGGAAGUGCCGUGGAUACUGCAAGUCUGGAGGAGGGUAGGGGCAUCUGGAACGCUGGGUGGAGCGGUGAAAUGCGUUGAUAUCCAGCGGAACACCGGUGGCGAAGGCGGCGUCCUGGACCAACACUGACACUGAUGAGCGAAAGCCAGGGGAGCAAACGGG
rnacentral:rRNA from 1 species